rnacentral:ncRNA from 2 species
UGCCGGGUUCGCGCCGAUUUGACGUAAACAGAUUGCGGGCGCGUUAAAAAUACCGCUAAAGCGAAGCCAGAUCAGAACCCGU